ACAAUGACAAGGCUGUUGUUGGACUCUUGGCAUUUCUAAUCAUUGUGACGUCAGUUGCGCUCCUCUUCGUGCUCUUCAAAAUUUACCAUGUCAAAAGAAAGCGGGAUGCUGAAGAUGAAGAUUGUGUUUAUCAGGACGUAUCCACUACUUGUGAAUAUGAGAAUGUUCCUAUGCACAGAAUGGAGACAAAACAACAGACCAACUGGGAUGCUGAAGAUGAAGAUUGUGUUUAUCAGGACGUAUCCACUACUUGUGAAUAUGAGAAUGUUCCUAUGCACAGAAUGGAGACAAAACAACAGACCAACUGAAUAUGAAUGGAUGCAGUUUUAUAAACAAAUACUGUGUUAUUGUUAAAAGAAGUACACCAUCAGUUUAGAUGACUGCAUAUGCAAUGGAAGCACAACUUUCACUUCUAGUUGUAAACAUAGAAAUAGAGAAAGAAAUAGAGGUCAUUAACACAGAACCUUUUUUUUUUUUUUUUUUUUUUUU